rnacentral:tRNA from 1 species
GUUUCCGUAGCUCAGCAGAGAGAGCGGCUGUUUACGAAGCAGCAGGCCGCAGGUGCAAAUCCUGCCGGGGACA